rnacentral:rRNA from 1 species
AGUGAACGCUGGCGGUAGGCCUAACACAUGCAAGUCGAACGGCAGCACAGGAGAGCUUGCUCUCUGGGUGGCGAGUGGCGGACGGGUGAGGAAUACAUCGGAAUCUACUUUUUCGUGGGGGAUAACGUAGGGAAACUUACGCUAAUACCGCAUACGACCUACGGGUGAAAGCAGGGGAUCUUCGGACCUUGCGCGAUUGAAUGAGCCGAUGUCGGAUUAGCUAGUUGGCGGGGUAAAGGCCCACCAAGGCGACGAUCCGUAGCUGGUCGUAGAGGAUGAUCAGCCACACUGGAACUGAGACACGGUCCAGACUCCUGCGGGAGGCAGCAGUGGGGAAUAUUGGACAAUGGGCGCAAGCCUGAUCCAGCCAUACCGCGUGGGUGAAGAAGGCCUUCGGGUUGUAAAGCCCUUUUGUUGGGAAAGAAAUCCAGCUGGUUAAUACCCGGUUGGGAUGACGGUACCCAAAGAAUAAGCACCGGCUAACUUCGUGCCAGCCGCCGCAGUAA